AUGUUUAGCCUUAAAAUCAUUUUUACUGAACAUCGUAAUAUCUUAAGAGUACAGAAGUAACCUGAUGAAAAUUAUGAUAGUGACUCACAAGAUUUUAAUGAACAUCAAGAAUUAAAAAAGUCUUGUCUGCAGACACCUGUCUCUGUAUUAAACAAAAGUAAAACGAGAUCGGAAAAAGUGAUCAUAAUUACCUCUGUGAUUAAGGUGAAGGGAGUAGCAGCAAAAAGGAAAGUAGCAAAAAAAGUCUUGUCUGCAGACACCUGUCUCUGUAUUGAAUAAAAGUAAAACGAGAUUGGUAAAAGUGAUCAUAAUUACCUCUGUGAUUAAGGU